AGAUAGCAAAUUAUUUUGGUAAAGAAAUUCUCUCUCUCGAGACUGAGGUACGAAGUUUUCUCUUAACUCAAAUUCUUCUCACAAUCUAUGGUGAUUUGCUGGUUAACGAGAAGGAGAAGAAGACACUGAAGUACGUGGUUCGACCAAUGGAGCCCACAUCCACGGGAAGGAAAACAAUUUUACAGGUAGAGCAAAACCAAUCAGCUCUAAGCAUUUGAGGAGCUUAAGUAUGGUGACUGGCUUAGUGAGCAUGUCAGCUGCAUUCUUAGAGGAGAAUUGAUCCAAUGGAGCAAGUAUAUUGCAAGGAUGAAGAAUCAAGCAAAAAAGGAAGGAAAAACCAGGAGUCAAAUGCACCAAAUCGAGCUGAGAUGCAAAAGGACAAUUUUGCCCUAUUUUAACGUUGCAACGUUCUCUAUAAGCCUAAGUCUAAUGCUCAUUCGGUGUUGUAAGACAGUAGCAUCAGGUACAAGGCAGUGUUGCAAUGUUGCCCCAAGCAUCACGAUGCCCCGGAGUUGGAUCAUCGCCAGCAUUCCAACACAUCCCAACACUUGAACUUCAAUGCUGAAGGACAACAUGUUCAGAGCAUUGCGACGCUACGACGAUUGAUGAGAUUUGUUAUCGCAUGUGGGGCAACUAAGCAUUGGAGGCACUGUUUCAAUGCCUCCUUGAUGCUCUCAAUGUGCACUGCAACGUUGCAACGCUAUUUCCAAGCGUUGUAAUGUUGCACAAAACCUAUAAAUAAGACGCUCGGGGUUAGCCUUCAAGACAUCUCAUACAUACUGAAAUACAACUCUGAACAGAGUAAAAUUUGAGAGAUUAGUCCGAUUUUGGGAGCCAUUGAAGUCAAAUUACUGACCAAGUAUUGUCAUAGUCAGCCUCGAUUCUCUUUCGAUCAUUGUAAUUCCAAUAUGCCUUUUAGAGGCUAAGUAAUUUUCUUGAGACAGUUUGUAUGUCUUGACUCUGGAAGGUUUACUAGUUUAAUUUAUUCAAUUGUUGUGAACCCUUUGGAUGGAUUCGUUUUAUAAUUAAUAGAGUUUCGAUGAAUUUUUCUGACAAA